UAGUGUGGCCACGUUCAUCAAGGAAGAAACCCUUUAGUGCCCAGGUGAGGCAUCAGGUCAUUAGCUGAUGGCAGUGGGAGGAUCAGCUGACAACUUUUCAGACUUCAGAGAAAACACCUGGGAGAAAUUCCUUUCAAACAGCCAUGUGGAAAGCUUUAGUUAAAAGUUUGAAUCUGCAGAGAUGCCAAAGCAAACCUGUUGCAAGACCUUUACUCACAGGUCAUUGAGCCGUGCUUACUCCGCUAUUCAAGGAACUUCCUCGUUUCACUGAAAAAACAAGCAUUAAAACAAACAAGCAAACACGCACACACACAAAUCAGCAUCAACUUAGGGACUUGUAUCAGCUUAACCACUUGCACCUGGGAAAGCUUUGUGGUGUUGACCACACCUUCUUCAGCAAAUAGAGAGGAGUGCAUUUGCCGUCUCCUUCCCGGAGCAACCCGGCUGGAGCAUGGAGGCUGUGCUACAGAGCCCAGACAAAAGACGACAUCUCUUACCUGGCAGUCCUUGCUUAUUCUGGUUACCUGAGUCUUCCUGCAGAACUGAAGACAUGUCUGGGCACCUCGCCAAAUGCCUCUUCCAGCACAGCUGAACAUCUGGAGAGGCAUGAGGGAUUUCUCCACAGUCUAGUGCAACUCAGAGUCUGCGUCUGCAGUGCCAGGUGAGGCUGCCCCGUGGCUGUUUCCACCACUGCGCAGAGGGAGCUGCCAGCAUAAUGAACUGUUCUACUGCCGUACUGAGCUUCUGAGCUGGAUUGCAGAGCAGUCAGCUACAUAAUAUGGAUGAGGAAAUACAGCAGCAUGCCAUGUACUCCAGAAACAGCCUUGGGUUUAAAGAAGCCAAAUGCUUUGUAUCAGAAAAAGGAUCAAUCCAACACACUAGACAGAACCAAGCAGCAAGCAGCUGAUGAACUGGCACUCUGGAUAUGCAACUGGUCGUUUCCCAAACCCUAUCUCCAUUUUCUUAAUAGUAACACCGAGGUUGCAACAUCUACUCAGCCAUGACCUGGCUGAAGUAACUUAAUUAACACUCCAGAAAUAUUUGGAAACAACUGAAAAAUGACCUAACACAAACUGAAACAUUGCUAAAAAGAGAAAGUUGUUUUCCUUCCCUGUGCUUCAAACCUAGAUUUGUCAUCUUCUGUAAAGACAAAACUGCCUGUGAAACUUUCAAAGCUGCCUCAGUGUCUUUUCCAACACCACCUUGGUUGCCCAGGCUCUUUUGAACAAUAUCUUUUUCCAGCUCUGCAAUCAUUUGGCAAACACAGGCUAAACUCUUCACAGCAAAUAGGAUGCAACAGCACUUUCUACACUGGAUGAAUCUAGGAGACAAGGGUAUUCCUGGUUCUACCAAAAACAUUUGCAUCACCUCAGGAGGACAAUGCAUUUUUUUUCCCCUCUCCUUAGUUUUGUAAUAAAAUAUGGAUUAAAUAUCAACAUGAAUACAGUACAGAUAAAAAUGUAAAUAAAAUGCACUGAUCUCAUUGUAAAGA